CAGGAAUUAGAGUUAACUUUGAAUUUCAGAUAAACAACAUAUAAUUGUUUUAGUAUAAGUAUGUCCCAUUCAAUAUCUGGGACAUACUUAUACUAAAAAUUUUCCAGUAUGUAUCUGAAAGUCAAAUGUAACAGGGUAUCUAU
rnacentral:miRNA from 1 species